ACUGGAGAACAGAUGAAAUUUGUUGUUCCGCUUUGGAAGUUCCUUUUUAGCUAUGAAUAAAUAAUCAGUUUCACGUUUGACACUAUCUCCUGAUUGUUAUUAAUAAGUGUGAAAUGUAAGAUAGUAAAUAAUGUCAUGCUUGCCAGUCUUUGUAUUGCUUUUGGAAAUUAAAGGUACAAACGUCAAACACUGACGUCACAGUAAGCAACUACUGCUGUGAAAAUGGCUACCGAGGAAAGUCCGUUUGGUGCUUUUCUCGAGAAAUCAUGGACAGAAUGGUACGAACACAUUAAGGAUGGACAAGUUUCGAGUGAUGAGGAAGAAACUCCUUCAAGACCAUCAGGAGACUGUAUGCGGCUUCCGAAGGAAGAAAUAUGGCACAGACCAAGGCCUCCAGAUGCUCCAGUGCCAACACCAGAACCGGUCGAGAAAGUUCUGGCAAACAGAUUGCCCUCCACAAGCAAAACAGGAGCUGGAAAUAAAUCGGGGGCUGGAAAUGUAAAAUUGAAGGUGAAGAAACCUUCGCAGCCCACAGUUUCAACAGGUCAUCCCCCUUCCGCAGCAGCGGCGGCCGCGGCGCCCGCGCCCCCCACCCCCGCCCCUCCUCUGGGGGCGGUGCCGGUGACGCUGACGCUGACAGUGCCGGUCUCGGUCCCUGUGCAGGUCCCAGUGCCGGCUCACGCGGCCGCCGCCUUGGCAAACGACCCCGACCUGGGGCCACCCGUAGCUUCAGUAGCUCCAGGGCCAGACACAGUUCUGGAAACCAUUCCCGUUGUAAUAGAGCCUGCAAAAGCACCCGUACGGACUCACUCACCCCCCAUUCGGCAGUCUCAGCAGAAGAAAAGACCUCGAGUAUCAAGGGAUCGAGAGUACGAUCCAGACAAGCAUUGCGGUGUGUGGAAUCCAGAGACAGGAAGACCAUGCACUCGCUCCCUUACGUGCAAGUCUCAUUCCCUGUCGAUGCGGCGCGCAGUGGCGGGCCGCAGCCAAAACUUCGACAGACUGCUGGCAGAACACAGGUCAGCCAAAGAAGCUUUAGGGCGAAAGGGAAAGGGUGCAGGAGCAUCCCUUGCACCCUCCGCCGCAGUCCGAGGCUCAGUGCAAGGGCGGUCUCCAGCUCGGCAUCGGAGUCAGUCACAGAAUGCAGUACCCAGUUCGGCUGGCAACCAGUUAAACACGUCUCUUCCCAUAAGAAGCGAAGGAAACGUCGUACUAGGUGAAAUGCGACUGAAUCAUGUGGUUGCUCCUUCAGUACAGGCCAUCCAAAAUGUAGUUACCCCAACACCAGAAACUGCGGAGAGCAUUUUACGGACCCAGUCUACAACUACCUCAAAGUACCCACUUAUUGCAACUCUUGCAAGGUUCACCCCAACAGUUACUGUGAAAGCGCAAGAAGACAAUGUUGUUGCGUAUUCUCGAAAAGCUGAGGAUGGCUCGUGGGUGACAACAGUUGCACCAAAGCCUGUUGCAGUGGUUUCGCUUACCUGUCGAAAGCAGGGUGUUGUGAAGUUUUCAAGCCGACGUCCAGAUCAAUCAAGAAAUGGCCUGCAGACUGCAUUAACAGAAGGAGUUGUUAGAGUACCAAUGACCAGUGAGAUAUACAGCAUUCAGCUGAACAAUGCUACAAAUCAUGCAGCAUCUACGAUGAAAUCUGUCCUCACAAACAUUAGCACCAAACCUAGUUUGUUAGGUGCAAACACACUUCUAAUAAACUCAGCAAAGAAUCACGUGCCAAUUCUUCCCAACAUAACACGUAAGAACCAGAAUUCUGGUACUCAGAAUAGUGCUAAUAGCUUUAAAAACAUUUUUGCCAAAUGUGUUACGACUAGUGCAAAGACUGUGGGUAACUCAAAACCAUCACUUGUGAAGACUGGUCAGUUUCAUAUGCCAAAUAUUCUUAGUGCAAGUCUGAAGAGGCCUACAGAGACAUAUAAAUCUAGUGCUGAAGCUAAGAGGAAAAGAAAAAAUACAACUGUAAAUGCCGUUGAAGUUAUGACCAGUUUGUUGGGAAAGAAACCUGCUGGUACUCCAACAUUUGCUUUAACGACUCCUCUCAUAAAGGUUUCACUUCCUAGUGGAAUUACUGCAAACUGCAGUCAACCAGAAGUUGUAAACUCAAAUUCUGUAUUCAGCUCACAAACAACCAGUGCUGAACAGCCGAAACCUAUUAUGACAGUUGCUUCGUUGCCUGAUGUAGUGAAAGCAUCAUCUGUAAAAGGUGUAACACAGAAUGUAAGAAUAGCAGCAUCGAGUAGUGCUAUCCACGUACCAGCCAACUCUAUAGCCUACCUGACUGCUGGACCUGUUACAUUUCAAAAAAUACCAGUCCUCAGCCCUCAGUGACCUCACUGCACAACUCAAAGGCAUUUGUGUUUCCGGCCUUUGGGAAAGGCGCUCUCCGCAAUAACAAGCAGAAACGACUCGUUGAUGAGAACACCAUUUGCUGCAGAGCUGCUGAAGCAGAAGGUACUCAGCAGCAAGGUCACUGUGUAGACUGCUGGCCAAACAACACAUGGUGUCACACGUGUUAAUUCAAAACUUGUAUGAUGUUCAGGAUUCUGACAAAGUUUCACUCCAUAAACUGUAAUUAAGUUGCUCUAAUUAAAUUAAAAUUUUAUGUGGAACUGUCAAAAUUUCUUUGUCUUUUUUACAGUCAUGUAAAUACUUUUCAGAUUUAAGAAUUUUGUAGAAGAUUCUUUCUUUUGUAUUUUUGGUUGAUAAUGUUCCAAAAUAAUUUUUUUGAUAAUUUUCUUAAAGAGGUUGAUGAUUCUGACUAAUACUGGAACUGAAUAAUGUAUUUUAAAGGUUCCAGCCCUUAGAUUGUCAGCAAAUCUUAUGUGAGCUUUAUGUGUUGGAAAGAUGAUGGGUAGGUGCCAACUUUUGUCAGAAACAGUAUUUAUUUUUGUUUGCUAGGCUGAGUAUUUGUGUAGUGGCGAACUUGAAGUUUGUGCAUUCUGGAGUGUAUAAUGAGACAGUAUUACUUGUGUGUUGUGUAUCCUGGCAGUAUUUAAAAACUGCAUUAUUGCAAAUUUCUGUUUUUGUUUAUAGUCAUAGGUGCUUUAGGUGUUAAGAUAAAGAAACUAAUAAUUUUAUAAUGUUGUUAUUCAGUUGUCCACAGAACUGGCAAUAAUGGGCAUCUUACUUUUGUGGCUGACCCUUUAAAACAAGUGGUCUUUGAACCUGUUCCUAAGAAAGAUUGCAAAUUGUCACCUUUUGUUAGAUGCAAAUAUUAAGAUUAUAACCACCGUCAUUGAUAUGUGUUUGCCAGACACUUUUGUGUAUUUUUUUAUUUGCAAAUCUUGUUUGCAUAUUCUGAAGUCUGAAAUAUAAUGUUGUAAAACCGAAGCAAUGAGUUCACAACUCAUAAAUUUUGGUGUUGUACUUUGUACAGUUGUAUUCCAUAGUGAUAGGAGAUUGAACUACAAUUGUGUAACUGUAUAGUGAUUAAAUAUUUAUUUUUUGUAUAGUGUCUUGUUUUCACCUGUAAAUGUCUGUUUAUAAAUGUGCGUUUAAAUGUUAUCGAUUUUUUUUGUUGUUUGUUGCGCUCUCUCUCUCUCUCUCUCUCUCUCUCUCUCUCUCUCUCUCUCUCUGUCUGUCUGUCUGUCUGUCUGUCUGUGUGUCUCUCUCUGUGUGUGUCUGUGUCUGUCUGUGCGCGCACGCACACACAGAGAGAGGAUCAUUUAAUUCUGUGUACACUGCUUGUGUAUGUACAUAGUGUAGAAAAGAAAGAGAAAUAUUUGUUGUCCAGGAUUAACCUGAAUUGUUUGUGGAAGAAAUAUUAAAUGUGAAUAUUGAAAAUUACAUUUAUCAGUUUGUAUUCUGUAUUUGGCAUUUAGUGUAUCUCUUUGUCAGUCUUUCACAGGUGUUUUGACAUUUUCUUUAAAGUUCAUAAUAUGUUACAGAGUAUACUAAGUAGUAUACCAGCAUGACUUCGGAAAUUAAGAUGAAUUGAAACAAUGUGUAAAGGAAGGCAAUGUUUGCAUAAAAUGUGCAAUGUAUUUCCUAAGAUAAAAAAUAUAUGUGUGUUUACAUACUUAAAGAUCACAUACUACAUGGCUAAAAGUAAUUUUGCGCAGUUGAAUGUACUCUUGUAAACUUACUUUUUAAAUUUCUUUAUUAUUAUUAUUUUUUGGCCAGAUAGUAAUUACAUUGAAGCUGGUGCAGUUGCAUUAAAGACAUUCUUGCUUUCUUUCCUCAUGGUGAUCGUUUUACACACCAUUGGUGCAAGUACCUUGACACAUUGUGCUAUUUACCUGUAAUGGAGCACCUAGUGUGCGGAAACCAUUCCUGAAAUGCAGAGUAAAAUAUUCACUCAUGUAUACUGAAUUCAAUGCUGUUCUACUUGUACUUGAAAUUGUGGCUUCCAAAAGCCUUUUACUGUGUCUAGGUUAUUAAAGUGUUAAUGUUUCCAUA